CGGCACCCUUGGCCAGGCGCGCCCGGGGUUGCGUCCGAGGCGCGCAUUAACUGCAGGAGGGAGAGAAUCGCCCGAGGCGCUCAGAGCUCCGGACCUCCUCGGCGCGGAAACAUGUGGAUCCUUCUUCCUCUUUGUGGGGUCUUCAUAGCAAGCUCAGCCGCAGAGUCCCCCAAGGAUCAGCCUCCCGACCCCUUCAAAUAUGAUUACUAUUCGCUGAGAGUUGGAGGCUUGGUGUUUGCAGUUGUCCUGUUUCUGCUGGGCAUCCUCAUUAU